rnacentral:rRNA from 1 species
GACGAACGCUGGCGGCGUGCUUAACACAUGCAAGUCGAACGGAAAGGCCCUGCUUUUGUGGGGUGCUCGAGUGGCGAACGGGUGAGUAACACGUGAGUAACCUGCCCUUGACUUUGGGAUAACUUCAGGAAACUGGGGCUAAUACCGGAUAGGAGCUCCUGCUGCAUGGUGGGGGUUGGAAAGUUUCGGCGGUUGGGGAUGGACUCGCGGCUUAUCAGCUUGUUGGUGGGGUAGUGGCUUACCAAGGCUUUGACGGGUAGCCGGCCUGAGAGGGUGACCGGCCACAUUGGGACUGAGAUGGGCCCGAGACUCCUGGGGGAGGCAGCGGGGGGAAAUAUGGCACAGGGGGGGGAGGCCGGAUGCAGCAACGCCGCGGGGGGGAUGACGGCUUUCGGGUUGAAAACCGUUUUCGCCGGUGACGAAGGGGGGGGGAGGUAAAGGGGUAAAGAAACACCGGCAAACUACGGG